CCAAGGACCAAUUCGAACGGCACCGUAUCCUGUCAGGCGACGAACAAGGAAUCCAGACCACGAUGAACUUCCAAUACAGGCCAUGGCACACCUAAAUUUGGGGGGAGGACGUCGCCGUCGGCAAACAUUUGCUACUGUUUUGCCUACCUGGGGACAAAUUAAAAGGCUUGGUGGGGAAGGGCAAAAAAUCUUGCAGCGGACAGGGAAGGCUUGCACACCCGAAAAUUUGUUUUUGGCCAUGUGCGCUUUACUUACUGUAUCAUCCUCCGCUGAAGCGACAGAUGAUACCACCGCAGAACAACUGGAGUGAGCCAAUGGUAAAUCAUCAAUUGAUGGCCUGGGGAGAUGGCGGCAUUGCAAAUCCUCGUGUAGCACAUCAGAAAUUUCCUGAUCAUAUUCAAACACCCUUAUGGAAAAUUGCAGCCACGCUUAAGACUGUUAGAAUUUACAAUGGAACUUUUUCUGGCACAGCGAACUCUGCAUCAACUUAUAAUUUCACUAUUUUUAAAGAAAUGAAUGUAACUGCUUGUGUACCUCUGCCAUAUCUAUUUCUGGUUGGGAACUUUAGUUUCUAUAAUGGAAUUAACUGUAUCAAAUGCCGAUUAUACUCUUGUGUUAAUAAUUCUAUAGAAUUUAAGCCAGAAUAUUCCUUAAACAACUUGAGGGAUUAGACCCAAAAGGUAUCAUUCAGAGUUUAGGGCAUACUGCUGGAGGAAUGGGCAUUGUGUUGCUAGUUGUUAUCUUAUGCUUUACGCUGCUACAUUUCUGCUAUAUAAAACCGUCCCAGAAUUCUAUGGCCACCCUCUGGAAGGCAAUUUUAUUAAAACAAAAGAAAAAAGGGGGAAAUGAGAUGGCAUAGGCUUGCAGGCCCCUUGCGAGCCAGGGUCAUUCAAGGACUGCAGUGAGAGUUAGGAAAGCCAGGCAAACCUGAGCAAGGAGGAGAAAAUGUUCUCUUCCCCUUAUCUCAUGUUGCAAGUUCUGAAUGCCUGGAUCUGCAAGAAGUGGCUCUUGACUAGAUUAGAGGCGUCCCUCCUUAGGACAACAACAUGCUGUCUCCAGAGGAAGGGUGGCUGAGAGAAUUCUUUAAUGUAUCUUUCUUCAAGGAUGUUAGUUUAAUCCCAGUAUGUGUGAAAGUACAUAUUGUUAUGCUUACCUGAUUGCUACAAGUAUAUAGCUAUGUGGAAAAUAAACGACAGCAUGCAGUUGCAAGGCCUGCCUUUGCUCUGCA